rnacentral:rRNA from 1 species
UACCUGGCGGCUGCCUUACCAUGCAAGUCGAACGGCAGCACGGGGGCAACCCUGGUGGCGAGUGGCGAACGGGUGAGUAACAUAUCGGAACGUGCCCUGGAGUGGGGGAUAACUAGUCGAAAGAUUAGCUAAUACCGCAUACGAUCUACGGAUGAAAGUGGGGGAUCGCAAGACCUCAUGCUCGUGGAGCGGCCGAUAUCUGAUUAGCUAGUUGGUGGGGUAAAGGCCUACCAAGGCAUCGAUCAGUAGCUGGUCUGAGAGGACGACCAGCCACACUGGGACUGAGACACGGCCCAGACUCCUACGGGAGGCAGCAGUGGGGAAUUUUGGACAAUGGGGGCAACCCUGAUCCAGCAAUGCCGCGUGAGUGAAGAAGGCCUUCGGGUUGUAAAGCUCUUUUGUCAGGGAAGAAACGGCGGAGCCUAAUAUGUUCUGCUAAUGACGGUACCUGAAGAAUAAGCACCGGCUAACUACGUGCCAGCAGCCGCGGUAAU